AUUGAACGCUGGCGGGAGGCUUAACACAUGCAAGUCGAACGAGUGGCGGACGGGUGAGUAAUGCAUGGGAAUCUGGCCAAUGGAGGGGGAUAACUACGGGAAACUGUAGCUAAUACCGCGUACCAUAGGAUGAGCCCAAGUGGGAUUAGCUAGUUGGUGAGGUAAAGGCUCACCAAGCCGACGAUCGCUAGCUGGUCUGAGAGGAUGACCAGCCACACUGGGACUGAGACACGGCCCAGACUCCUACGGGAGGCAGCAGUGGGGAAUAUUGCGCAAUGGGGGCAACCUGACGCAGCCAUGCCGCGUGAAUGAAGAAGGCCUUCGGGUUGUAAAGUACUUUUGGCAGAGAGGCGUUAACUACAGAAGAAGCACCGGCUAACUCCGUGCCAGCAGCCGCGGUAAUAC
rnacentral:rRNA from 1 species